UCUUAUGGAUGAACAAGGAAAGUGGUUUCUUGAGAUUGAAUCUACUUUCAGUGAAGACGUUGUAAA
rnacentral:pre_miRNA from 1 species